GGACACAGAGCUCCUGCCAAGCCCCUUCCAACUGCUCUGCCUCCAUUUCCUUCCCAGGAUGGAGCCUACAGCUGGAUCCAGGUCUUUGCUCCUCUCGUUGGGAUCUACAAAGUCAUGGAAUCUUCACUGGUCACUUGAGGAGUCCCAAGACAAGAGGACAUGUCUUAGGAACAGAUGUCCAGCAAGAACAUGUUGGGAGGGACUGGAAAACAUUAAAGAUCCUGAGCUUUGACAUCUCCUUGUUGCACUGGAAUUGCCAGCACUGGACAAAGCCUGGUCUGCAGUGUGGGUCAAGGGUGGUGAGCAAAAAUGAGAGAAAAUUGAUUCAUUAAAAAUGUAGCUUUGGAAAGGGAGAUUCCUGC
rnacentral:lncRNA from 1 species